rnacentral:rRNA from 1 species
GCAGAGCACUCCUACGGGAGGCAGCAGUGGGGAAUAUUGGGCAAUGGAGGAAACUCUGACCCAGCGACGCCGCGUGAGGGAUGAAGGCCUUCGGGUUGUAAACCUCUUUCAGCAGGGAAUAAGCGAAAGUGAAGGUACCUGCAGAAGAAGCACCGGCUAACUAUGUGCCAGCAGCCGCGGUAAUACAUAGGGUGCAAGCGUUGUCCGGAAUUAUUGGGCGUAAAGAGCUCGUAGGUGGUCGAUCACGUCGGAUGUGAAAUUCUGAGGCUUAACCUCGGACCUGCAUUCGAUACGGGUUGACUAGAGUGUGGUAGGGGAGACUGGAAUUCCUGGUGUAGCGGUGGAAUGCGCAGAUAUCAGGAGGAACACCGAUGGCGAAGGCAGGUCUCUGGGCCAUUACUGACACUGAGGAGCGAAAGCGUGGGGAGCGAACAGGAUUAGAUACCCUGGUAG